GUUAACGUCACAGCUUUAACACAAGUUCGCCACAGGGAUCGGUCUAUUUACUGAAAAGGCAGAAAAACACAGUGGAACAACAUUCCAUUAAACCGCCUCUAUUUAACGUUAAAGCCAUGAACUGGACAUUCAGCGGACAGUUGUUAGCGUGAAAUUGGGAAGGAGAGGGGGGAUGACAUGCAGCAAAGGGCGACAUACUGGAAUCGAGCCAGCAGCUGCUGCGGCAAAGACAGGGCCCCUGCACAUGGGGCACCUGCUCCACCAGACACUGAUGAACACAAUAAUCCUAAUAUUAACAGAUCACCUGAAAUCCCCCUUUACUCCCCCCUGCAGGCCUCUUUAUGAAACACAGGUGAGCUGGC